CUUUAGCACAAUCUGCCUGGCACUCAGUAUGCUCUAAGUCCUCCUAUUAUUAUUAGUCUAUUAUUAUAAUCAGAGAAGUUUUCCCAGGGAAGACAAGAACUGAGGUGGACUUGCUCAGUGUGUGCCCUGAGUGCAAACUCUACCUCAUUUGUUGCUGAUACUGAGGAUAAAAGAUGAUCAGAGAUGCCUGGUUGGAGAUCUACUCAGUGACAUUGGUAAAUGCAUGGAAAUUCAUUCAUUCCCUCACUCAUUCAUUUGUUUAUUCAUCAUAUAUUUCUUGUGUGCCUUCUCAUUGCUGGCUGCUGUGUUAGGUGUCAGGAAUACAAAGAGCACUGUGGCUGCAGUAUGGGGAGGGCCGAGAGUGCUGGAAGCAGAGAGGAGUCUCUGGGACUGAUUGUGGAGUCAAGUGACUGAAGGGACUGAAUUCAGUGGAGAUAUAAACAGGAAACUUGGAGCUUUGCCACAAGGAGAAGGUGGAGACAAAGAAGAAGGAAUAGGUACAGAAAGGAGAAAAGGCCAAUAAAGGGAACUGGAGAGAAGAAUGAAAACUUGAAAGAGAAAGAACCAAAACUCUUGAAAUAUUUUGAAGAGUGCACCACCUAGGACACCAUAAAAACAAAGAUGCCACUGAGUGGAGGGCAGCAGGAAUCUGAUGGGUUCAGGUUAACUGCAACCAACAUGGAGCCCCAAAAUCCAAGCUAUGGAAGAUCGUCUCUCAACCUCCUUGACGUAAGUUUUCAGCCAGAUUGGUACUUGCUUUACUGUUGGUCUUUGAGAUGCCACUUCAUUAGGUUUUAAAAACUCUGAUGCUUGGCACAGAAGCGUGUCGGACUUCAUUGUAUUCGGGUGAUCAUUACCAGACUCUCUCUUCUUUUCUCUUUGAAAGAGCCUCUUUUCCUUUGUUGAUAGUUUAUACUCAGUGCCUUGGGAGAAACACUUCCUAGGAAUUACCUCUAUUUUAUUUUGUAGCAUUUUAGCUGAAAAGAAAAAGAGAGUUGAAGGGGAAUGAGAUGAAAUUCAAGGAUUGAUUUAUAAAAUAUAUAUAGUUUAUCUUAGGUUUUAUAUAGCUCACAGCC